AGAGUUUGAUCCUGGCUCAGAACGAACGCUGGCGGCAGUAACACAUGCAAGUCGAACGCGUGUAGNNNUACACGAGUGGCGCACGGGUGAGUAACGCGUGGAUAUCUGCCUUUUGGUUCGGAAUAACCCCGGGAAACUGGGGCUAAUACCGGAUGGUUCCUACGGGAUAAAGAUUUAUCGCCAAAAGAUGAGUCCGCGUACGAUUAGCUAGUUGGUGAGGUAAUGGCUCACCAAGGCGACGAUCGUUAGCUGGUCUGAGAGGACGAUCAGCCACACUGGGACUGAGACACGGCCCAGACUCCUACGGGAGGCAGCAGUGGGGAAUAUUGGACAAUGGGGGCAACCCUGAUCCAGCCAUGCCGCGUGAGUGAUGAAGGCCUUCGGGUUGUAAAGCUCUUUUGGCGGGGACGAUGAUGACGGUACCCGCAGAAUAAGCCCCGGCUAACUUCGCGCCAGNNGCCGCGGUAAGACGAAGGGGGCUAGCGUUGUUCGGAAUUACUGGGCGUAAAGCGAGUGUAGGUGGUCCAAGUUGGAUGUGAAAGCCUUGAGCUCAACUCAAGAAAUGCAUUCAGGACUGGGCGACUAGAGGACCGGAGAGAGUGGAAUUCCCAGUGUAGUGGUGAAAUACGUAGAGAUUGGGAAGAACACCAGUGGCGAAGNNNNGCUAUCUGGACGGUUUCUGACACUAAGACUCGAAAGCGUGGGGAGCAAACAGGAUUAGAUACCCUAGUAGUCC
rnacentral:rRNA from 1 species